rnacentral:rRNA from 1 species
GAUGAACGCUAGCUACAGGCUUAACACAUGCAAGUCGAGGGGAAACGACAUCGAAAGCUUGCUUUUGGUGGGCGUCGACCGGCGCACGGGUGAGUAACGCGUAUCCAACCUGCCCACCACUUGGGGAUAACCUUGCGAAAGUAAGACUAAUACCCAAUGAUAUCCCACGAAGGCAUCCGAAUGGGAUUAAAGAUUUAUCGGUGAUGGAUGGGGAUGCGUCUGAUUAGCUUGUUGGCGGGGUAACGGCCCACCAAGGCUACGAUCAGUAGGGGUUCUGAGAGGAAGGUCCCCCCACAUUGGAACUGAGACACGGUCCAAACUCCUACGGGAGGCAGCAGUGAGGAAUAUUGGUCAAUGGGCGAGAGCCUGAACCAGCCAAGUAGCGUGCAGGACGACGGCCCUAUGGGUUGUAAACUGCUUUUAUAAGGGAAUAAAGUGGGUCACGUGUGACUUUUUGCAUGUACCUUAUGAAUAAGGACCGGCUAAUUCCGUG